rnacentral:rRNA from 1 species
AUGGCGCCAGGAGCUCGAAUCCCUGCCUCACGCACUCCUCCUCGUCAUCCUUCGUCGCCUGGAGUCGCCGGGAGCCCGCGCCAAGUUCGCCGUCACCGCUCCUCUGCUUCCGCUGCAUCGAGCAGCAGCAGUUCGGGCAGAGGACGCCACCUCUGCCCCGACCCUGCCUGGACUCUCCUCCUGCCGGCCUUCAAUGUCGUUCGUGCCUCCUCCGCCUCGAAUCUCGUCGUCUCCGCCGCCCGUCCAUGCCCAGCGCCCCGCCGCUUCAAGUCCCAGCGCCGCCUUCCCAUGCCUCGUCAGGCUCACCGUGUCCACGCCGUCCUGGUCGCACCCGCGGCGAGCACGUCGACGGUGGCUGGUUGUCGCUCCCGCUUCGCCCGUCUCCACGGUGUGCUAUGUUCGGUGGAAAAAGAGGAGAGAGGAGAGAGAGAAAGAGGGGUGAGUGGCUGA